rnacentral:rRNA from 1 species
ACCGAGUUGAUGCGGCAGCUACACAUGCAGUCGAGCGGUAGAGAGGUGCUUGCACCUCUUGAGAGCGGCGGACGGGUGAGUAAAGCCUAGGAAUCUGCCUGGUAGUGGGGGAUAACGCUCGGAAACGGACGCUAAUACCGCAUACGUCCUACGGGAGAAAGCAGGGGACCUUCGGGCCUUGCGCUAUCAGAUGAGCCUAGGUCGGAUUAGCUAGUUGGUGAGGUAAUGGCUCACCAAGGCGACGAUCCGUAACUGGUCUGAGAGGAUGAUCAGUCACACUGGAACUGAGACACGGUCCAGACUCCUACGGGAGGCAGCAGUGGGGAAUAUUGGACAAUGGGCGAAAGCCUGAUCCAGCCAUGCCGCGUGUGUGAAGAAGGUCUUCGGAUUGUAAAGCACUUUAAGUUGGGAGGAAGGGCAUUAACCUAAUACGUUAGUGUUUUGACGUUACCGACAGAAUAAGCACCGGCUAACUCUGUGCCAGCAGCCGCGGUAAUACAGAGGGUGCAAGCGUUAAUCGGAAUUACUGGGCGUAAAGCGCGCGUAGGUGGUUCGUUAAGUUGGAUGUGAAAUCCCCGGGCUCAACCUGGGAACUGCAUUCAAAACUGUCGAGCUAGAGUAUGGUAGAGGGUGGUGGAAUUUCCUGUGUAGCGGUGAAAUGCGUAGAUAUAGGAAGGAACACCAGUGGCGAAGGCGACCACCUGGACUGAUACUGACACUGAGGUGCGAAAGCGUGGGGAGCAAACAGGAUUAGAUACCCUGGUAGUCCACGCCGUAAACGAUGUCAACUAGCCGUUGGGAGCCUUGAGCUCUUAGUGGCGCAGCUAACGCAUUAAGUUGACCGCCUGGGGAGUACGGCCGCAAGGUUAAAAACUCAAAUGAAUUGACCG